rnacentral:rRNA from 1 species
UACGUAGGGGGCAAGCGUUGUCCGGAUUUAUUGGGCGUAAAGAGCGUGUAGGCGGCCAUGUAGGUCCGUUGUGAAAACUCGAGGCUCAACCUCGAGACGCCGAUGGAAACCAUGUGGCUAGAGUCCGGAAGAGGAGAGUGGAAUUCCUGGUGUAGCGGUGAAAUGCGCAGAUAUCAGGAAGAACACCCGUGGCUAAGGCGGCUCUCUAGUAGCGGUACUGACGCUGAGACGCGAAAAGCGUUGGGGGAGCGAACAGG